rnacentral:rRNA from 1 species
CGGGGGCUGCCCUUACCAUGCAAGUCGAACGGUAACAGGGAGCUUGCUCCGCUGACGAGUGGCGAACGGGUGAGUAAUACAUCGGAACGUGCCCAGUAAUGGGGGAUAGCUCGGCGAAAGCCGGAUUAAUACCGCAUACGCCCUGAGGGGGAAAGUGGGGGACCGCAAGGCCUCACGUUAUUGGAGCGGCCGAUGGCUGAUUAGCUAGUUGGUAGGGUAAAGGCCUACCAAGGCGACGAUCAGUAGCUGGUCUGAGAGGACGAUCAGCCACACUGGGACUGAGACACGGCCCAGACUCCUACGGGAGGCAGCAGUGGGGAAUUUUGGACAAUGGGGGAAACCCUGAUCCAGCAAUGCCGCGUGUGCGAAGAAGGCCUUCGGGUUGUAAAGCACUUUUGUCAGGGAAGAAAUCCUUUGGGCUAAUACCCUAGGGGGAUGACGGUACCUGAAGAAUAAGCACCGGCUAACUACGUGCCAGCAGCCGCGGUAAUACGUAGGGUGCAAGCGUUAAUCGGAAUUACUGGGCGUAAAGCGUGCGCAGGCGGUUGUGUAAGACAGGUGUGAAAUCCCCGGGCUUAACCUGGGAAUUGCAUUUGUGACUGCACGACUA